rnacentral:rRNA from 1 species
AUGUUUGACGGAGUUGAGCGGAUGCUUCGGGGAGUCAGGCAUGUGCCAGGGCUAAGGAGGAAUCUAAUUUCGCUUGGCGUUCUUCAUGAUGGUGGUAUGGUAUUCCGUUGUGAUCGGGAUAAGAAGACCAUGAGAAUCAUGGAAGAUGAGGUGACCGUGAUGAUUGGAGUGAGGACGGCUUCGCAUCUUUACAAGUUGCAAGGGAGCACUAUUGCAGGUGGAGUCACGGAGACUGGAGUUGCGGGAGUAGCAGCGGGGCCUCACGGUGGCGGCGGGUCUGGGGCAGACUCGUCGAGUAGCUCUCAGUAA